AUUGAACGCUAGCGGGAUGCCUUACACAUGCAAGUCGAACGGCGUGGCGAAGGGGUGAGUGAGGUAUCGGAACGUGCCCAGUAGCGGUGGAUGACUACGAGUACGCGAAACUAUUACCGCUACCUUUUGCAGCGGCCGAUAUCGGAUGAGCUUGUUGGGGGGGUAACGGCUCACCAGGGCGACGAUCCGUAGCUGGUUUGAGAGGACGACCAGCCACACUGGGACUGAGACACGGCCCAGACUCCGACGGGAGGCAGCAGGGGGGAAUUUUGGACAAUGGGGGAAACCCUGAUGCAGCCAUCCCGCGUGUGCGAUGAAGGCCUUCGGGUUGUAAAGUACUUUUGGCAGGAAAGCGGUACCUGCAGAAGAAGCACCGGCUAACUCCGUGCCAGCAGCCGCGGUAAUUC
rnacentral:rRNA from 1 species